CUCCCCCUGCCCCUAGUGCGCGUGGAACUCCGGAGAGGGAAAGGUCACUAGGAUUGUCGCGGGACGCGGCCGUUUAACGAUGUAUAGAAAAAGUAACAACAGACAAAGUGUUCCUGUAGCUGUUGUCUGCUGGGAAUAAAAUCAAAACAUAGAUGUAG